rnacentral:rRNA from 1 species
AUUGAACGCUGGCGGCAGGCCUAACACAUGCAAGUCGAGCGGAUGAAGGGAGCUUGCUCCUGGAUUCAGCGGCGGACGGGUGAGUAAUGCCUAGGAAUCUGCCUGGUAGUGGGGGAUAACGUCCGGAAACGGGCGCUAAUACCGCAUACGUCCUGAGGGAGAAAGUGGGGGAUCUUCGGACCUCACGCUAUCAGAUGAGCCUAGGUCGGAUUAGCUAGUUGGUGGGGUAAAGGCCUACCAAGGCGACGAUCCGUAACUGGUCUGAGAGGAUGAUCAGUCACACUGGAACUGAGACACGGUCCAGACUCCUACGGGAGGCAGCAGUGGGAAUAUUGGACAAUGGGCGAAAGCCUGAUCCAGCCAUGCCGCGUGUGUGAAGAAGGUCUUCGGAUUGUAAAGCACUUUAAGUUGGGAGGAAGAGCAGUAAGUUAAUACCUUGCUGUUUUGACGUUACCAACAGAAUAAGCACCGGCUAACUUCGUG